GUUGUGCCCGGACCACAACGACUUCAUUGUAAUAGCUUCCCAAUAAAAUCAAGUAAUCUGCAAGGUACAGAGUUGUUGAAACUCAUGGAUAAUCCUAAUCACGGAAAAAUAAAUUCUUUGCCUAUGGGUGGUCACACAGUACCAUCUUUUCUUCCUGAUGACUUCUGACAGACUCAGUUUGCCCAAUAUAAUUAUUUCAGCUACACCCAGGGUCUGGCCCAAAGGAAGCACUAAAUAAACUCUGGGAUGAUCAGUAUUUCCCUCUUCUGAGGCAUUCUUGAAUAUAAUCCAUGUAUGUACAUUUCAGACAGCUGUUUUCCUGUACCCAGGAAACACAGGGAGUUAACUUUCAUUUCCUCUUUAAGUAGUAUGUGAGAAGUCUACAAAGGUUCCACCACUUGAAGACCCUGAGACCCCAUUACUUG
rnacentral:lncRNA from 1 species